CAAAUGAAUUGACGGGGGCCCGCACAAGCAGUGGAGUAUGUGGUUUAAUUCGAAGCAACGCGAAGAACCUUACCAGGGCUUGACAUCCCUUGAAUCGGGAGGAAACUUCCGAGUCCCUCGGGACAAGGAGACAGGUGGUGCAUGGUUGUCGUCAGCUCGUGUCGUGAGAUGUUGGGUUAAGUCCCGCAACGAGCGCAACCCUUGCUGUUAGUUGCCAGCGCGUAAAGGCGGGCACUCUAAUGGGACUGCCGGCGACAAGUCGGAGGAAGUGGGGGCGACGUCAAAUCAUCAUGCCCCUUAUGACCUGGGCUACACACGUGCUACAAUGGUUGGUAUAACGAGUUGCGAGUCGGUGACGGCGAGCUAAUCUCUUAAAGCCAAUCUCAGUUCGGAUUGUAGGCUGCAACUCGCCUACAUGAAGUCGGAAUCGCUAGUAAUCGCGGAUCAGCACGCCGCGGUGAAUACGUUCCCGGGCCUU
rnacentral:rRNA from 1 species